CCUACGGGUGGCAGCAGUGGGGAAUAUUGGGCAAUGGAGGAAACUCUGACCCAGCAACGCCGCGUGAAUGAUGAAGGUCUUCGGAUUGUAAAGUUCUUUUCUAAGGGAAGAAGAAAGUGACGGUACCUUAGGAAUAAGCAUCGGCUAACUCCGUGCCAGCAGCCGCGGUAAUACGGGGGAUGCGAGCGUUAUCCGGAUUUAUUGGGUUUAAAGGGUGCGUAGGCGGCGCUUCAGGUCAGCGGUGAAAUACCGGGGCUCAACCCCGGGGCUGCCGUUGAAACCGGAGCGCUAGAAUUCCGAUGCCGUCGGAGGAAUGUGUGGUGUAGCGGUGAAAUGCAUAGAUAUCACACAGAACACCGAUUGCGAAGGCAUCUGACGAAUCGGAGAUUGACGCUGAUGCACGAAAGCGUGGGUAUCGAACAGGAUUAGAUACCCGAGUAGUC
rnacentral:rRNA from 1 species